CACGUAGGGCGCAAGCGUUGUCCGGAAUUAUUGGGCGUAAAGAGCUCGUAGGCGGUCUGUCGCGUCGGCCGUGAAAACCUGCAGCUUAACUGUGGGCUUGCGGUCGAUACGGGCAUCACUGGAGUUCGGCAGGGGAGACUGGAAUUCCUGGUGUAGCGGUGAAAUGCGCAGAUAUCGGGAGGAACACCAAUGGCGAAGGCAGCUCGCUGGGACGGUACUGACGCUGAGGCGCGAAAGCGUGGGGAGCAAACAGG
rnacentral:rRNA from 1 species